AGAAACUUAGGUUACUUAAACCGAAG
rnacentral:tRNA from 1 species